rnacentral:rRNA from 1 species
GGGGGGGGGGGGGGGGGGGGGGGGGGGGGGGGGGGCGGGCGGGGGGGGGGGGGGUGGGUGGGGGGGUGGGGUGGCGGGGGGGUGCGUGGCCGGUGAGUAACCUGCCCGGGCCUGGGGGAUGACGUCAGGGAACGGGGGCUCCUGCCGGGUAGGCCCUCCUGCCGCAUGGUGGGGGUUGGAGAGCUUCGGCGGUGGUGGCUGGACCCGAGGCCGACCAGCUUGUUGGUGGGGUGGUUGCUUACCAAGGCUUGGACGGGUAGCCGGCCUGCGAGGGUGACCGGCGACAUGGGGCCUGAGAUACGGCCCAGACUCCGACGAGAGGCAGCGGUGCGGAAUAUUGCACAAUGGGCGGAAGCCUGAUGCGGCAACGCCGCGUGCGGGAUGACGGCCUUCGGGUUGUAAGCCGCUUUCGCCUGUGACGAAGCGUGAGUGACGGUAAUGGGUAAAGAAGCACCGGCUAACUACGUG